GUCCGGAACNCCUUNNAAUUUGGUUAUUGGCCGAGAAGGAACCGUAAUUCCAUNGAAUUUUUANUAGGNGUGGUGCAAAACAAGGUAAGCACGGAUUUGAGUGCCGGAUAGCGGCGGACGGGUGAGUAACGCUGUGGGCAACCUACCCUUAAGAGGGGGAUAACACCUCGAAAGGGGUGCUAAUACUGGAUAAGCUCCUUGUAGGGCAUCCUAUGAGGAGGGAAGGUAGCGGAAGCUACCGCUUAAGGAUGGGCCCGCGUCCCAUCAGCUAGUUGGUAGGGUAACGGCCUACCAAGGCGACGACGGGUAGCCGGCCUGAGAGGGUGGUCGGCCACACUGGGACUGAGACACGGCCCAGACUCCUACGGGAGGCAGCAGUGGGGAAUCUUGCGCAAUGGGCGAAAGCCUGACGCAGCGACGCCGCGUGAGCGAAGAAGGCCUUCGGGUCGUAAAGCUCGAUAGUGUGGGAAGAAUAGAUGACGGUACCACACGAAAGCCCCGGCUAACUACUGUGCCAGCAGCCGCGGUAAGACGUANGGGGCGAGCGUUGUCCGGAAUUACUGGGCGUAAAGGGCGCGUANGCGGCCACUUAAGUCAGGUGUUAAAAACCCGGGCUCAACCCGGGGGAUGCACAUGAAACUGGGUGGCUUANAGGNCAGGAGAGGGGAGUGNNNUUCCCCGGUGUACCGGUUGAAAUGCGUUGAUUUCGGGAGGAAUACCAUUGGCCGANGGCGACUCUCUGNACUGACCCUNGACGCUNAAGCNCNAAANGUGNGGAGCAACAGNAUUANUUCCUGGUAUNCNGCCCGUAACAAUGGUUCCUAGUGNGGGAGCGNACCUUCCCUGCCGUAUUUACNCAUAGUNCCGCCUGGNGNUNCGCCNCAAGUUAAAUAAAGAUUGNGGGGCCCCCAAACGUGAAUUUGUUUUUNNACCCCGAAACCUCCNGGUUCUUNCANUNUACNNCCAAGNGCCCCCCCNNNNGGCCUAUAAANUNA
rnacentral:rRNA from 1 species